GACGAACGCUGGCGGCGUGCUUAACACAUGCAAGUCGAACGGAAAGGCCCUGCUUUUGUGGGGUGCUCGAGUGGCGAACGGGUGAGUAACACGUGAGUAACCUGCCCUUGACUUUGGGAUAACUUCAUGAAACUGGGGCUAAUACCGGAUAGGAGCUCCUGCUGCAUGGUGGGGGUUGGAAAGUUUCGGCGGUUGGGGAUGGACUCGCGGCUUAUCAGCUUGUUGGUGGGGUAGUGGCUUACCAAGGCUUUGACGGGUAGCCGGCCUGAGAGGGUGACCGGCCACAUUGGGACUGAGAUACGGCCCAGACUCCUACGGGAGGCAGCAGUGGGGAAGAUUGCACAAUGGGCGGAAGCCUGAUGCAGCAACGCCGCGUGCGGGAUGACGGCCUUCGGGUUGUAAACCGCUUUCGCCUGUGACGAAGCGUGAGUGACGGUAAUGGGUAAAGAAGCACCGGCUAACUACGUG
rnacentral:rRNA from 1 species